CUACGGGUCGCAGCAGUGAGGAAUAUUGCACAAUGGGGGGAACCCUGAUGCAGCAACGCCGCGUGGAGGAUGACGCAUUUCGGUGUGUAAACUCCUUUUAUAUGUCAAGAAAAUGACGGUAGCAUAUGAAUAAGCACCGGCUAACUCCGUGCCAGCAGCCGCUGUAAUACGGAGGGUGCAAGCGUUACUCGGAAUCACUGGGCGUAAAGGACGCGUAGGGGGGUUGGAAAGUCAGGUGUGAAAUCCUACAGCUUAACUGUAGAACUGCACUUGAAACUUCUAAUCUAGAGUAUGGGAGGGGGAGAUGGAAUUAGUGGUGUAGGGGUAAAAUCCGUAGAUAUCACUAGGAAUACCUAAAGCGAAGGCGAUCUCCUGGAACAUUACUGACGCUAAGGCGUGAAAGCGUGGGGAGCAAACAGGAUUAGAUCCCGUGUAGUC
rnacentral:rRNA from 1 species